UUUUUUUUUGGGUAUUCCAGCUCGAGCAGCACCUAAAGUAGCCAACGGUAAAGCAGCCAGUAGCAGCAGCAGCAGCAGCAGCAGCAGCAGUAGCAGUGAUGACUCAGAGGAGGAAAAGGCAGCAG
rnacentral:miRNA from 1 species